rnacentral:rRNA from 1 species
GGUACCUACGGGAGGCAGCAGUGGGGAAUAUUGCGCAAUGGACGAAAGUCUGACGCAGCGACGCCGCGUGAGGGAUGAAGGGUUUCGGAUCGUAAACCUCUGUCAGGAGGGAAGAAAGCGCAUGGCGCCAAUCAGCCAUGCGUUGACGGUACCUCCAAAGGAAGCGCCGGCUAACUCCGUGCCAGCAGCCGCGGUAAUACGGAGGAUCCGAGCGUUAUCCGGAUUUAUUGGGUUUAAAGGGUGCGUAGGCGGUUUGAUAAGUUAGAGGUGAAAUGUCGGGGCUCAACCCCGAAACUGCCUCUAAU